UACGGAGGGUGCGAGCGUUGUCCGGAAUCACUGGGCGUAAGGGCGCGUAGGCGGCGCGGGGAGUCAACGGUGAAAGCUCGGCGCUCAACGCCGAGUCGGCCGUCGAUACUCCCGUGCUUGAGCACUGUAGAGGCAGGUGGAAUUCCGGGUGUAGCGGUGGAAUGCGUAGAGAUCGGAAAGAACACCAACGGCGAAAGCACUCUGCUGGGCCGACACUGACACUGAGAGACGAAAGCUAGGGGAGCGAAUGGG
rnacentral:rRNA from 1 species